UACGAAGGGUGCAAGCGUUACUCGGAAUUACUGGGCGUAAAGCGUGCGUAGGUGGUGAGUUAAGUCAUGUCGGUGAAAGCCCCGGGCUCAACCUGGGAAUGGCGAUGGAUACUGGCUGCUAGAGUGCGGUAGAGGAGAGUGGAAUUCCCGGUGUAGCAGUGAAAUGCGUAGAGAUCGGGAGGAACAUCAGUUGGCGAAGGCGGCUCUCUGGAC
rnacentral:rRNA from 1 species